UACGGAGGGUGCGAGCGUUGUCCGGAAUCACUGGGCGUAAAGGGCGCGUAGGCGGCAUGCCAAGCGUGUGGUGAAAGCCCGGGGCUCAACCCCGGGUCGGCCGUGCGGACUGGCGUGCUCGAGCACUGUAGGGGCGGGUGGAAUUCCGGGUGUAGCGGUGGAAUGCGUAGAGAUCCGGAAGAACACCGGUGGCGAAGGCGGCUCUCUGGGACGGUACUGACGCUGAGACGCGAAAGCGUGGGGAGCGAACAGG
rnacentral:rRNA from 1 species